rnacentral:misc_RNA from 1 species
GGUAACGAAGGAGUCAUGUGUGUCUAAAAUAAGAGCUGCAGAGAAGAGAAUGUUUAGACAAGAAAGAAAAGGAUUAGAUUUAAACUGACAGGAGGAGAGUAGUAUAAAGUAACAUUUCAAAGUAUUUAGGCAAAAUCAUUUAGGGUGGAGAAAGAAAAUUUGGAUAAAGGCUUAGAUGAGAUGAGUUAUUCCCUACAGCUCAAUUAGCAAGUUUAUUGUUGAGAAUGCAAGUAAUUACAGGUGAGAUCAUAGGUUCAAUGCUUUCUUCAAACUACCAAACUAAAAAUACGGAAAUCAAGUAAAAAAU